ACAAAAAAAAUCAACGAUAGUUCUGUAACCAAAGUACCAAACUCAAUACCUUCGUCUUCUUCUUGCUCUCAUCACGCUGGUAAUGGGAGACUCAAAACUAGGAUCGUGAUGGCUAAUAUCACGAUUCUAUACCCAAACUCUCUUCUCCUUCGUCUUCUUCCUCUCAUCAAUCUGGUCAUCACUGUUGGAAUCGUGGUGGAUCUGAUCUAAGCAAGAUAUCUGAGAAGCUUGGCAAAAAAGGUGGUGUCUUGCUUCCAGUGGCGAUUGCUUUCUAUGUGAUGUGGUGGUUCAUUCAUUUUGUUACUGCAUCACCAGCUAUGGUUUGGAAACGCUAAAAGACUUAUUAAUUUUCAAUAUCUUAGAGUAAUUAUCUUGCAUAUAAACAGUUAUAUAUAUAGUUUGUUACAGUUAUAUUUAUAAGUAUAAAAUUACAUCUUUAUGCCACUAAUAUUAAAACUCAGAGUUUUGACUUAAAAUGAACCAAAACCUGUUUAACUUC